GACGAACCGUGCGAACGUUGUUCGGAAUCACUGGGCUUAAAGGGCGCGUAGGCGGCUUGCCAAGUCGGGGGUGAAAUACUUCAGCUUAAACUGGAGAAGUGCCUUCGAUACUGGCAGGCUUGAGGGAGGUAGGGUCUGCGGAACUUCUGGUGGAGCGGUGAAAUGCGUUGAUAUCUGGAGGAACACCGGUGGCGAAGGCGGCAUCCUGGACCACGGCUGACGCUGAGUGAGCGAAAGCCAGGGGAGCAAACGGGG
rnacentral:rRNA from 1 species